rnacentral:rRNA from 1 species
UACGUAGGGUGCAAGCGUUGUCCGGAUUUAUUGGGCGUAAAGAGCUCGUAGGCGGUUUUGAAAGUCGGGUGUGAAACCUCCAGGCUCAACCUGGAGACGCCACUCGAUACUUCAAUGACUUGAGUUCGGUAGGGGUAAGCGGAAUUCCUGGUGUAGCGGUGAAAUGCGCAGAUAUCAGGAGGAACACCGACGGCGAAGGCAGCUUACUGGGCCGAUACUGACGCUGAGGAGCGAAAGCGUGGGGAGCGAACAGG